CCCCCAUCUCGAUCUGCAGUCCACUGGAAGCGCAGUGGACACGUGACAGGACAGACAGCUGUUCCAGCUGCACACUGCAAACCCUGUCAUCUCACUGUUAAAGCUUGCAGUUGCCACGAAGCCGGAGCAGAAUAGCGCCCCAGAGGAGUGGUCGGAGGCAAUCGGCUUUUUUUAUAUGGUUCUGAUGUACUUGCAAAUUCAAAUGUGAUGUUUUAAAACGGAUUCUGAGUACAUAAAUACCUCGUGUCCUACUGUCCCCCAACCCCCACUCUGUCUCCACCUCCAUCCAUCCUCACCAAGCAACCCCAUGGGACGUGACCUCGAAAUGCCGGCCAUGCUAAAGUGUGAGGAGAUCGCGCUGGCAUCUGCACUCCCGGGAGCCCAAAUCCAGGAGUGAAAUUGCCACUUCUAUCCCUUAUUUCCUAUGGAAACAACGCCUUCCACAGCCCCCAGUACCUGCUGUCCUCACGGCACUGUUCAUCGGGAUCAGGAUCAGCUGUCGCUGUUAUUAGACACCCUGGUUGGGUUUGCUUACAUUGUUGCUGCAGUGAGCAUCAGUUUCACUUUGCCGGUGACCACAUGAUUUCCAGUGGCUUCCAUCUACAAGCCUGCUGAUGACUUUUUUCUAACGUAGUACAACAAAGUGACAAUUCUGACAGGCUUACCUUGGAAGAGGUAUCGUUUUUACUGCCAAUUUUUUUGGAUGAAAAUGUUUUUAUAGAUCUUUCCAAAUGGUCUGCCAGUCAAGUAGGAAUUGCACAACUAAGUCAAGGCUGUGUGUUCUCGAAGUUCCCUUCAUGAAGCCCGUCCUAGGAUGGGUGAGUCGACCCCUUAGAGGGAAAGAAAGCAGACUGACCCUCUGAGCCUUCCCCGGGGGCACCUGGCCUACGACCUCCCCUGGAGCCGCACACAGCCCUGACAGCUAGAACAGACACGGGCUUAGAGCACGUGUCCCCAGCCUCACCCUGUCUUGCUCCACCCUCCCUGCUAACAUCGAGGUGUGUGCGGUUACCUUUGAGCUUGGAACAAGCAGACUGGAAUUUUCCUCUGCUACCUCUUGUGUACAAAAUCUUGUUUAUAAAGUUUCAAAAAGAAGUAGAUAAACUAGAGAAGAAUCUUAAUUCUAAAUUUGGUGCAUUGAGUGGCAGAGUUCUUAGCUUCUAAGGGUAUAAAAUAAAUUUUUCA
rnacentral:lncRNA from 1 species